rnacentral:misc_RNA from 1 species
AUAAAAACCUAUAUACUCUUUGCUGUCAGGUUGACUCGGUUGAAGAUAUGAGAUGAGGGCCAACAGCAAUUUUUACCGCCAAUUAAUUAGCUUCUUGAAAAUCUUGUGUGAACAAAGAACAAGCCCUCACUUCAAAACACUAGAGCAGCUCAGCCCAGCAGAAGUGAUCUUGAAGAAAUUUGAAGCUAAAAAGAUUUGAGUCUAUCCAUUACUGCUGAGCAAUCUGCUCAACAGAGCAUGCAAAUACUAGUGCCCUUAAGUGAAGUCAAGGCAGCUUCCUCAUUUUUGUAUGGAGAUCACAAGUUCUCUAAUAACACUGACACCCCAAAGUAUUGUUUUCAUAGAACCGAUAUCUUACCAUUUUCUAUGUAUCCUCUAUGCUCUCCCAUUAAAGGAAUGAGGUUGGCCACUACUCAGACCGAUACCACUCAAAAUAUCGGAGCCAAGGAUGUGCACACCCAUGUGGGUGGGAAUGCGAGAUUUACGAGGGGGAAGCUUCCAAGUUUUGUAUGAACUAUACAUGUAUUUUCCUGAACUUCUUCACAUCGUCAGAUUACUGUGAGGCAAGAUCCAUGAAAUUCAACUUUUACGUGAUGCCUAGUUCAAAAUGGAGACUGGCACAAUGGACAAGAUGAUUUGUGAGAGGUUGAGAACCACUUGUAUAGGCAGGCAGCAUGGAAUUUGUGCUUGCAAGUUCUGCAUGCAAGGCGAGGAAGACUAUGGUUGGCAGUGUGGAUAACACUGUAACAUAUGGGGCACUCCUCAACACCUUCAAAUUCCUUGUCAAAAUUGCUCUUCCAUAUCCGUAUAGCUUCAGCUAGCGCGCCAUUCUGAUUACGAACAAACAGCAUCAUUGACAUCAACCAUUUCCGCUGCUUUACUUCACUAAUGCCAAGGCUUCUCAUACAAUCAACAUCCACAGGACGUAAUGGGUAAGAUGCAGGAAGACGAAUAACUAGAUCCAUUCCAGUCUCAUCCUUUGUAUAUGUAGCAACUACCUCAUUUGCUGAUUUGCUUACGCUGACUGAAAAAUUCUCAUCAGCAAAAUUGAAUUGCUUUAUCUGGGACAGUUCAUUCAUAAUUAGGGGAGGACUGCACCACGUUCUUGUAAAUGCUUCAAUUAGAGAUGAUGUUGAACGGUCACGUAAAUCAGUAAACCAACCUCGAACAUAAGCAGGAAGAACACGGAGCAUCAAACCAAAUAAUGCCCCUGCAAGUGAAGCCAUUUUCUCAGGGGCAAUAGGCCAUAAUGAUUCCACAGAGAACAAUAAUGAACCUGUUGUUAUGGCAGAUGUUGCUGCACUUGCAACCUCUGAUGCCCCAGCAGGAAGAUCCACAUCUUUCUUUUUAAGACUUUGUGCCAUGCACAAUUCCAAAGGAAUAUGCUGGAAGAGGCAAUCUAGGAUCACUGAAUUAGCCGAAUCUUGUACAUACUGGACCAAUUGCUCCCUUGCAGCUGACAGUGAUGGUAAUGACCACAAAUGUGAUAGCAACAAAGACCAAGCAAGGAAGACGUUUACCCUUUGAUGUGCAGUGAAAUCCAUUUCAAGAACCUC